UACGUAGGGUGCAAGCGUUAAUCGGAAUUACUGGGCGUAAAGCGUGCGCAGGCGGUUAUGUAAGACAGAUGUGAAAUCCCCGAGCUUAACUUGGGAACUGCAUUUGGGACUGCAAGGCUAGAGUACGGCAGAGGGGGGUAGAAUUCCUGGUGUAGCAGUGAAAUGCGUAGAUAUCAGGAGGAAUACCGAUGGCGAAGGCAGCCCCCUGGGUCGAUACUGACGCUCAUGCACGAAAGCGUGGGGAGCAAACAGG
rnacentral:rRNA from 1 species